UGAUGACGUUCCUCCUAUUGCCUAGAGCGUUGGCACUGGGAUUUUAGGUCAUCAUAAAUUAAACUUGAUUUUCUUCACUCAGAGAAUGUUAGAUAAUGGGAUUAUCGGUUUAUUCUCAGAUAUUUGCGGAAUCAGACACUU